GGGGAGAGGUAAGGGAGAAGUAGGAGAUUUGGAGAAGGACAGAGGGAGGGAGAAGAGGUGAGGUGGGAGGAAGAGAAGGAGUGCGCAAAUGGCAAGUGUGAAGGGCCGGGAGCAUGAAGGGCCCCCCUGUGAUAGGGGAAGGAAGGAGGUGAAGGUCAAAUGCUGUGGUGACCCAGUCUCGUGCAGGGUUUCACCUUCCUGGGGUUUCCAUGCACCAGGUGUUCGUUUCCUGGCUAGUUGUUAACAACUUGUCCACCCAGGGCAGGCUCCCUGGUCACUGUACACAUACAGUUUGUUACCUUUUGCCAGCACAUAGAAUCAUGGUUUGGGUUGAAAGGGACUUUAAAGAUCAUCCGCUUCCAACCCCCUGCCAUAGGCAGGGACAUCUCCCACCAGACCAGGCUGCUCAAGCUGCACAACAACGUGCUAUUUAUUUAACUUGGGCUGGCAGUUUAGGUAGUUUAUACGACUCCUGCUCUGUUAUAUUUGUUGUGUUGGUGGCCUGAGAGCAGAAAAUAAAAAAAAAAGAGGUUUGAAGUUGUGCUAUUCUUCCUUUUCAGACAUCCUUGCAGGAUCCAAGCUGUGAGGAAGAUCUCUUCUCUGUGCAGGGAUGCUCAGAGGUCUGCUUCAGGUGAUGCAGAAAACAACUGAGAAGAAGGAAAAGCAUCAAGUUGAGUUUCCUUUCUAUAAACUCUGUUCCAACAUGCCGUCAAUUGUAAUGGGCAGUGCUGAUAGCCUGGUGCUGGGACUUUGCAGAGCUCUGAAUGCAUUUGGGUGGAUGGGGAAGGUCCAGCUCUCACAAUCAUAGAGUUUCCACACCCCUCCAGGACAUCUUGACAGAUGACUCCCUUCUGAUGCAAGACCCUGUGUUGGGCUAGGUGUAUGUGCCAUUAAUGUCUCCAUACUCAGUCCAUGAGGUGUGUGAGAAAGAAGCCUGCGGUCUAAUUUAUGAGUCAAGCUUUUUGGAGGUGUGGAAGAGCAGUGAGUGAAGGAACAUAGAACGAUGAAGAUUGGGGAAUGGAACAUUUGGCGCUGGUUUUAAUUAGAAUGAUCCUGUUCAUCACUCAUUUUGUGAGAUAAAAGGGGAAGAAUAUCCAUUAGUAUACUCAAAGGGAAAAUAUUUGUGUUAUAGUUAGUGAGCAAUUCUAAUUGACCUGCCAAAUAUAAUUAAAUUGAAACACAGACCUUAUUUCAACAACAUUUCCCUUAUUGUAGCGUAUGAGAGAUACAACUGGCGUUAAAUUUAUCCCUAAUCUGUCUGCAAUCUAAUGACUUUAGUCUGAAAUUCAUACCACAACUAAUUCAGUAUUAAACUUAGCGAUUACCUCUGUCAGCCAAAAAAAUUAAUAGAGCCCAAUCAAUAAGUCUUUCUCUUGUGAACAGAAGUGUCCUUGUGCCUCUCCGCUUAAGAAGGUAAAAUGAUGGCAUUCAUGUUGUGGCUUGGAAGAGCCGCCAUUGUACAGCAGAGGAGGAGCUGAUUGAUGACUUUGAGAGCACAGAGCUAAAGGUUCUUCUGGCUUAGAGGGGACUUUGUUCUUGCCGAGAAGGAACUGGCCACUGAGCUUCACUGCUUGUCUUCUAGGCAUGGAGCUGUGAUGUUGUGAGAAAGGCCUGGGCUCCCUGGGAAGGCAACUAGUCAGGGCCAGAAUUCCUGACAUAAUGUCAAAUGUAACGGAAAAUUCUGAGGUUUACAAUGAGAAUAUUUCGGGUGCAAUGUUUCCUUCUGGACUUGAGAGGAAGGCUGAGGAAUGAUGCUGGCUGAUUUGUUGUCGUAGAUGAGCUGUCAGGAUGAACAGAUAAUCCUUAAUGGCAUCCAAAAUAGAUAUCCUCCGGAUCAAUAUGCACAGCUCCUGUAAGAGGAGAAUUCUGGGGUAGUUAAGCACUUGAGAGGUGCACAGUGACAAAUGCAAGGUGUCUAAUUUUGUGCAUCCCCUAUUAACUUCUCAUUCCUCUUGGUGCAGAACAUCAGAGGCCACCAUACAUCUCAUCAUAGUAUUUCCAGUGUGUAAGAGGGCAGAGGGAGCGGGAAGUAACUGCAAUAUAGUUUGGAAUCUUUUAUCUUCAUUUCUAAAUCCAUUAAUUCCUUUAAAGUACACACUCUCUUUCUUUCUUACCACCAGAAACAAGAACUUAUUUGAAUGUCAAACGGGGCCCUAAUGAAUCCCAUAAGAUAAUCAUAGCAGCAGCUGUCCAAGUUAGUUUCUAUAAAUAAUUCUAUAUGAUCUUUACCGAAGUUACCAAGUGCUAACUCGGGAACCUGCCUUUUCCUUCCUCUCACAUGCCCCUUUGAAACCAGGGAUGCUAGUGGACUUUUAUUAGUCCAUUAUUAUAAGUUAGGGCCUUUUAAGUGCUUCACCUUGGGAUCAUAGAAUCAUAGAACUGUUUGGUUGGAAAAGAUCAUUGAGUCUAACCAUACCUGUCCAUUACUUAACCAGAUCCCUGAGCAACUCAUCUGCCUAUCUGCCCACCUCCAAGGAUAGUGACUCAACCACCUCUGCCAGUACCUGCCCCUUCACCCUUUUUUUCACUCCUAAUAUCCAAUCUGAAUCUCCCCUGGCGCAACUUGAGGCCAUUUCCUCUUGUCCUAUCACCUGUCACUUGGGAGAAGAGACCAACACCCAUCUCGCUACAACCUCCUGUCAUGUGGUAGUAGACAGUAAUAAGGUCUCCUCAGUCUCUGCCACACUAAACAACUCCAGUUUCCUCAACUGAUUUUCAUAAGUUUUGUUUUCUAGCCUUUUCACCAGCUUCAUUCCCCUUCUCUGGACACGCUCCAGCCUCUUAAUAUCCUUCUUGCAGUGAGGGGCCCAAAACUGAACCCAGAGUUCGAGGUACAGCCUCACCAAUGCCGAGUACAGGGGCACAAUCACUUCCCUGGUCCUGCUGGCCACACUGUUUCUGAUGCAGGCCAAGAUGUCAUUGGCCUUCUUGGCCACCCGGGCCACUGCUGGCUCAUGUUCAGCCUCUGUCAGCCAACACCUCCAGGUCCUUCUCUGCCCGGCAGCUUUCCAGACACUCUUUCCCAAGCCUGUAGUGCUGCAUGGAAUGGUUGGACUCGAUGAUCCAAUGGGUCCUUUCCAACCUUGUGAUUCUGUGUGUGAUUCUGUAUGGCGCUGUUGUGUCCCAAGUGCAGGACUCAGCACUUGGCCUUGUUGAACCUCAUCCUGUCGGUCUCAGCCCAUCAAUCCAGGCUGUUCAGAUCCCUCUGUAGAGCCUCCCUACCCUCAAGCAGAUUGACACUUCCACCCAGUAUGCUCAGGCUACGAUACUGAGCACUGAGCUCCUCAAACCUGCCAGAUGAAAUGAAGCGUGUAACCAUGAAGAGUGAGGUGCUCCUGAGCAGCCGGUAUUCUGGUAAUGAAGUUGUUGAUGCAGAUAUGUAGAAGUGCCUCGUGAUAACAUUAGUUACCAUUCAGCAAAGGCUGGCACCUCUAAGAUGGUGGGUACCAAGUGAUCUUACACUAUAGUAACAUGGUUCAGCAGAGUAUGUGUGUUUCUUAGAGGUUUAUCGCCUUCUUCUAAGGAAGAAGAGAGCACACACAGUGUUUUUCCUCUACCCUUUAUAAGUCUCAUACAAAGAAGGGUAAAUGACAGUAAACUGAAGUUUUGUUGCCUUGUCUUCUAACAUCUCUACACAUCUCUAGCAGGUGCUUUUGGGCACAGAAAUCUGAGAGGAUUCUAAAUUUGAAUUGCUUUAUUCACACGUACACACCAGUCCCGAAAAGAGGACGUGCAGCCAGUGUGCAAGGCGGUUCCUUCAUGUCAGAAUCCUAGCCCAACAUCUCUGUCUGGUUCCCAAGAGACAGCUCUUAACACCAGAAAUGAUUUAACAAGGGGCGAGGCAGACAGCCAAUUUCCAGGCUGUUCGCAUUGCCUCCUCUUCUUCCAGUCUGCCAGGGCACAAAGUCCUUGCAUAACCCAAAGACUGAACAGUGAGACAGUGGGUCUCUCCAAGAGAUGAAAACCUCGUUGUGCACCGUAAAGGUAAUAUUAGCAGAUUUGUGGUGAUGCUUCCCACAAGGAUAUGCCUGCUUAGCUGUUAACAGAAAAGGUAACUGCGAAGCUUCAGAGCUUCCCUUUCAGCCUGUGUUUCUGCAGUUAGGGUCUCAUUCAAAUUAUUUGUGUCUGCACAACAAGGAUAGUAAUCGGCUUUCGCACAGUACACUGAUGCUAUUUCUGUUUACCUUUAGAAAGUUUUCAGCAUGUUUAGUGACGAGCUCGUGCUUAACAAUUCUCAUUCCCUGCCUAAUGGGUUACAAAAAUGGGGGCAUUUUUACUUCAUGAAGCUCAUUUCUCUUCCCUCAAUGACUGUAACUUCGUGCUGAUGUCUUUAGGGCAUCCUUCAAGAGUACUGUUUCAGGGAUUCUUUUCUCAGAAAAAAAGGAUUUGGUUUAGCUCAGAGCUGGCUGUCUCUAGUUCUGCUGCCCCUUUCCCUUUUAAUUGUUUCAGUUUCUAAAUCAGAUGCCACCAGUAGCACAGGAAAGCUGAGGUCCCUUCCAGCCUGUUCUCAGCACUGCCCACAGACUGAUGCAAACUGGCACAUUCAGUGCCCGUGCAGACAGCAGCUGUGUAAUCCAGUGGCAUUUCCUUCUAAAAUGUUCUGCACAGAAGAGGAGCUUGAAAGGAACGUGAAAUGAAGUAGCAGUCUGGGGAGAAAUGCAAUUCCAGCCCCAGAGGCAAUGCUAUGGAAAGCAAUAAAUCCUCUUGUCUGUAUCUACCAAAAGAUGACAGUCUUUACUUUUGAGCUGUAUGUAUCUCUGCAGCCAGGCAGAUGCCUGCAGACCUGCUUCCCCCUCACCUGUACCAGGGACCCACUGGAGCAUGCUGCAAUACCCUUUCAGUGUGCGCUUUGGGUUUUCUUUUCCAUGGAAACCAGGACACUGUUGGAGGAGGAGGAUGGGAUAGAUGCUGUGUACCUUAUUCCAACCUGAUAUGGCUUUAGGACAUGAGCAGAUAACACAACCAGAGCCAGACACAGCUCUUUUUUUUUUAGCUUGCUGGGUAUCCAAUAGUUUCAGGCAGUCAGACAGUGUCUGACAGGAAAAACAAGCUCAAAACCAUCAUGAAGCAUCCAAUUCAUAUAGAGAAAUACCUACUAGGCUGGGGGGAAAUAGAGACCAGUCACAGACAGUUAUGUCGCUUCAAGGUAGUGACACCUCCCGUCUCAUUCCGGCAUGAUCUGUCCCUUGGCUUUGAAAACAGCAGAGUGAACAAUAGUCAUUCAGGAGCAGAAAACAUUGAUAUCUGUUGUGCCGGCACACUGGGACUGGAAGGGUGAUUUCUGCCUGAUUUCAUUCGUGAGAUCCUAGUGGGUUUUUGGUUUUUUUUUGGACUAUUCUUUUUCUGUAAGAAUAGCCCUGCUUCAAAAUUUCCCAGGAAUACAAUGUUUUUGAUAAAAAAAAUGCAGUUUCUGCCAUACAAACAACUAACCCACUAACUGCUCUCUCAUCAGGAGACAUGAAAGUGUUUAGGGUUGCCUAAGCACAGUUUGCUGUUCUCCACUGCAUUGAGCUGCUCCAAAAGGCUGAAGGCUGAAUUCUUCCUGGCGAGGCUAGUGGGGAGCUGCUCCCUCCACCGCCCUCCAGCUUCUCCCGCCCAACUAUGGCUCCAACAGGAAAAUGUGCUUUCCUGGCUGUAUGCAGCACAUGGCAGUGACAUUAAGAGAAGGAGCCUGACACGGGAGGCCAGACCAGACACAACUCGCAGGGAAUAUGGAUUGCUGGCACAGCGAGCUGUACUUUAGCUUUGAGGUCUCUCAAAAUAAAAGGCCGGAAGUUUUUAUCUCCUGCCUCCCUCUUCCAUCACCCGAGCAUUCGUCUCUUCACCUGUAGCUUUCAGCUCUCAGUUCCUCUAUCCAAGGACACUCUGUUCUGCUUUGGGUGGAUUUGAGGAAAAGAACUGCAAAUUGAAAACAGGUCCUCUUGUUUCCAUCCACCUCUUCUCCCAGUGCUUUGGUGAAACCAAAAGUGCAGGUCUUCUGUCUCCUUUUCUUUAAG